GACGAACGCUGGCGGCGUGCUUAACACAUGCAAGUCGAACGGAAAGGCCCUGCUUUUGUGGGGUGCUCGAGUGGCGAACGGGUGAGUAACACGUGAGUAACCUGCCCUUGACUUUGGGAUAACUUCAGGAAACUGGGGCUAAUACCGGAUAGGAGCUCCUGCUGCAUGGUGGGGGUUGGAAAGUUUCGGCGGUUGGGGAUGGACUGGCGGCUUAUCAGCUUGUUGGUGGGGUAGUGGCUUACCAAGGCUUUGACGGGUAGCCGGCCUGAGAGGGUGACCGGCCACAUUGGGACUGAGAUAGGGCCCAGACUCCUACGGGAGGCAGCAGUGGGGAAUAUUGCACAAUGGGCGGAAGCCUGAUGCAGCAACGCCGCGUGCGGGAUGACGGCCUUCGGGUUGUAAACCGCUUUCGCCUGUGACGAAGCGUGAGUGACGGUAAUGGGUAAAGAAGCACCGGCUAACUACGUG
rnacentral:rRNA from 1 species